rnacentral:lncRNA from 1 species
CUUGACUCUCCUACAAAUUUUCCCUAAAUUCUCUCAAGAAAAUGAGGAAGAAGAAAUGUGUGAAGUACAAGGGGGAGGGUCUUUAAAUAAAAUUUUCAAGCAAACGGGGGCUGUCAGAUCGCAUGGGCGAUCGAUGGCUGUUGAUCAACUAAGUGGUCGUCUGGCCACCCACAUGCGGCGUGUAUAUGUGCCACAUGGCGGCCAUGCACACUUAGUUGGGUAGACAUGAUGGAUGGAUCAGACAAACCGUCCAUCAAU